rnacentral:lncRNA from 1 species
CUCAUGGCGAGGCCGAGCUGCAUUUUCAGGUUAUCAGCACAAUUUCCUCUUUCUGUAAAUGAGAGUGGCUAAGACUUACAGCCAUUGCAGCUAGCAGAUCCCGAGGCCCUCCCAGCCUAGAAGAAAGACUCGUGAGGGGUGUGUGUCAGACAGCUGGUGCAGAGGUGGUGGAGACAGUUUUGAACAGGUGGGGAGCCUGCCUGGUACCCAUCAAUCACCCUUAGCGUGAGGUCACCCACUUUGACACUGGACCCUGGAAGGGAGGAUGGGAGUGAGGCCAAAGUGGGUGGGUAAAGACUCUCUCUCUGGGGGAAGGGAACAAACUCACACUUAUGGAGCCCCUACCCUAUGCCCAAAACUUUACGUGGGUUUCCCAUUUAACUUUUCAACAACCCUAUGCGGGAGGAAAGAGAGGGAUUAUUCUCCCAUUUUAUAGAUUAGGUGAUGAUAGCAGAAAGAGAUCAAGCAAUUUACCCAAACUGGCAUCAUUUGUGGUACAACUGAGGUUUGAGCUGGGGCAGGUCUAAGUCCAGAGCCCAUUUCGAGGUGGCGAGGGGAAUCUGGAGCUUGCAGUUAGAUUUCAUCAGUACCCAGGAGAACAUCCCUAGGUCGAGCUCACUGCUGACUCUCAGGGUCCAUGUCUAAAUGAAGAGAAGGCCAGCUGAAGCUUCUCCAGCACCUCUCCCCAUCUCUUAGCUUUGAAUCUGCUGUAAGUGGAGGGUUCAACUUGGAGCAUCCUUGAGGUGCCCCGUAGGGUGAGAGGCAAGCUGUGUGGGAGGAGGAGGGAUGCGGUUUGUGUGUCUGGAAGCAGCAAAAGAGAUACAAUGCCCAAGCUUGGAUUUACAGUGGGUGUCUGGUUGCCUCAGCAUGGAAUCUGAACCGAACCAUUUUCCAUGGGCGAAUUAGCUAAACAAUCCAGCCCACAAAGGGAGCAGCUCUGAUAUGUCAGUUAACAAGCUCAGAGGGGUGGGGGCUGGGGGUGGUGGUGCAUGGAGCUGGGAGGGGAGGGAGGGGACUGCUGGCGAGAAAUUGACCUUCUCUUGUCUGGCUGCUCUGAGUCCAGCCUUUCUGCUUGGGAACCUGGGAGGGAGGCUGGUCUGAUUUCCCUGUGGUCUGAACGGUGGGAAAUUUUUUUGGUGGCAGAUUAUAGUUUCCUGAGGCAGUUUGAAUUACACCUGCCCCAUUUCAUUUAAUUAGGGCUGGGGUUGCUGUCUAUUGUGUCCAGUGGGCCUUGCUGCGUGAUUAAAUAGUAACAUGUUUGUUUUCUUGCGGGUGGGUUUUUUUUUUUUUUUAAUGAUGAGGUUGGCCAAAGAGGGGAGAGCAUAAGGAGUGAUGAUGAAACCAUCAGAGAAGAGGAUGUUAGAGGCCAAACUCUCACCCUACUGAGCCUGCAGUGGGGACUCUGUCCCUCCUUCUUGGACCAACUUCUACACAAUGUAUUCAGAGCUGCCUCUGUUUUCACAUCUAUUCCACAGCCUGGCUUUCUUUCUCUUUGCCAUAUACCUGGGAAUCAGGUAUUUCCUCCUUCAGUCCUGCUUGUCUCUCCCAUCCCUUCUCAUUUUACUGUAGUUUUCCAUCCAAACUCUCCUUUUUUCACUCUCUCAACAGCUUCUGGCUACUCAAGAUCAUUAACAGGGAACUUGUUGAAUAAGCCAUGAUACCGUCUUGCCAUGGAAUGUUAUGUAGCCAAGAAAAAGAAUAUAAAGAACUCUCUGUAUAUUGAUUUGGAGUGCUUGUCAAGAGAUAUUGCAAAGAAAAAUAUGUUGUAAAUAGCGUGCUCCUUUUGUGCAAUAAAGAGAAGCUUGUAUGGGUACA